AAGUCGUAACAAGGUCUCCGUAGGUGAACCUGCGGAGGGAUCAUUACUGAGUGAGGGCUCACGCCCGACCUCCAACCCUUUGUGAACUAAACUUGUUGCUUCGGGGGCGACCCUGCCGGCUUCCGCCGGCGGGCGCCCCCGGAGGCCUUCAAACACUGCAUCUUUGCGUCGGAGUAUCAAUCAAAUUGAACAAAACUUUCAACAACGGAUCUCUUGGUUCUG
rnacentral:misc_RNA from 1 species